UACGAAGGGGGCUAGCGUUGCUCGGAAUCACUGGGCGUAAAGCGCACGUAGGCGGGUCUUUAAGUCAGGGGUGAAAUCCCGGAGCUCAACUCCGGAACUGCCUUUGAUACUGAGGAUCUUGAGUUCGAGAGAGGCUGAGUGGAACUGCGAGUGUAGAGGUGAAAUUCGUAGAUAUUCGCAAGAACACCAGUGGCGAAGGCGGCUCACUGGCUCGAUACUGACGCUGAGGUGCGAAAGCGUGGGGAGCAAACAGG
rnacentral:rRNA from 1 species